UAGCUCAAGAAGGAGCUAACACUAGUAGAAAAAAUGAAAUAGACAUCGCAAAAUGCGCACCGGUUUUUAAAAAACGGUGUGAAAAAUAAUAGGCGGGAUUGAGGGGAAGACUUUUCGCAUCGGUUCUAACCAAACCGGUGUGAAAAAUAAGUUAAUCGCACCGGUUAGGUUCAAACCGGUGGGAAAGCUAUUGUAAAAUUGUUAAAAAAAAAAAAGAAAAAAAAAAGGGCCUUAUCUUCUUUCUUUCGUUUUCUGUCUUAUGUAUUUCUCUUUCCCCGAUCUCUCUUCCUCUCUCAUCUGCCUCUCUCAUCUACAACAAUGGAGCGUCAAACUCCUUCUCUCUCCUUCGAUCUCCUUCUCCAUAACCGCCGCUUUCGCUUUCCUUUUCUCUCUCCUUCGAUCUUCUUCUCCAUAACUGCACUGCAAGCAACACCGCUCUCCUUCUCCUUCUUAGUCCGAAAUCGGCCGCCAUCAAUUUGAACCAAAUACAACAACAACAACAAACUUAAAUCAAUUAUCGAUUCAAAGAUCACAAAUUCGAGUUGAAUUUCAAUUUUUGGGCGUUUGAAGGCGUUGUUCUGGUUGAUGCGAAGCCAUGGUUCCGUUUGAAUACAAGCCGUAUUUUGGAUUCCAAAACAUUGUAAGUGUAAAUUCGAUUUGUUUUGUUGAAAGGGAUAAUUAGUUGAAGGUUUAUAUUGUUGAAGGUGUAUAUGUGUGUGUGUUAAUUUAUUUAGGGUUGGUUUAUGAGUUGAUUGAUUGCAUUAAUUUGGUUUAUGUGUGUGGGAAUUCAGCUUAUUGUCUAUUUAGAAAUUGUCUGAGGUUGUUUUAUUGGAAUCACAUUCAGAUGUUUAGUUCUUUGGAUUCUUUGCUUGGGAAAAAUCUCGUCUUUCUUCAGGUAUAAUAAUUUACACCGCAUUUUUAUUUUAUUUUCCAGAUUUUUUUGCAGAAAAUUUCAUGGAUUAGUGUUAAAAUAUUUCAUUUAAUUACUUUAUUAUGGGGUUGUGAUUUUGAUGAAUGAUGCUGAAAUCCCAUGUUUUAUUUUUGUAAGUAAUUUUAUAUGGGGUUGUGAUUCAUGUGGAAAUCUGUAAAAAAACAAAAAUUAGUUUUUGUGGGUUUUUGUUAAGUGUAACAUAGUAAAAAAUUAAGUCUUUUUUUUUUUUUUAAAUAUAUGACUUAUGGUGUGGAUUUUGUCUAUAUUUGUAUGAUUUAUACUUAAUAAUAUUAGUGUGGGUAUAAUUUAUUAGGGAAAAUGCUCGCUUUUGAUUGAUGCUGAUAAUAAUAUUUUAGUAGGGUGUGGAGGAGCGUCUACUGUUUGGACAAAACCUUAAUUACUCAGGUAAUUCCUUAAAAAUUGAUUGAAGUGUCAAAGUGUAUGUCCAUAUCUAUGAUAAUAGAGUGUCGAGGGUCUAACACGAACAUAUGACCACGGCUUCUUGAAUUGAAGCUUCUAGCCUUCUAGGGGCUUAGGUGAGGAACCCUUCCUUGAAUGUGGCUUCACCUCUCGGAUUGAUGUUGUGGUUCAAUUUUUGUUGAUUAUUUGAUGUGUGUCUUUUGGUUUCAAGAGAUGUAAUUCUUUUAGCUUGCUAUAGAUCAAGAAAUAUAAUCCUAGGAUUGUUGGUUGUUUGCACUUUAUUACUUGAGAGCACAAUCAAUGUUAAUUUUUAUCUUCUUCAUCUUAAUUAUCUUUUGACAUGCUUCUUGUAAAACUAAAGCAAUGUAAUAGAAACUUUUAUCUUCAUAAUGUUAAUUUUUAUCUUCUCAAUGCUUCAUCGGUUAUUGGUUAAAGGUUUACUUUGUCCAAUUCUUACUAAUCCUGUUUUUUUUAGCUUGUCUUGGUUGAUCCAAACAGAGAAAUUCAGGAAAACAUGUAUCAAGGCCCUUCCAGACAGAAUCCAAAGGAUCCUAAUGUGAAUGUUGCUGAACAAUCCACACACAAGUUUAAAGAGCUUAUUUCAUGUUUGCUUUAAGAUGUAAAUUUCUUAGGCUAACGAGAUCUCUGUUGCUGCCGAAGAAGAGUUCAACAUUGAGAAAUUGCAGUUAGUUUUAGCAGAGAAGAAGAAGAUCAGGCAGGAGUAUGAGCGUAAGGAGAAACGAGUUGAAGUUUCCAUGUGAGUAAUUUAUCUGUUAUUUAUCGAUAGAAUUGCUGCUUACUUCGUUGCUUAAUUUCAUCAGUCGAAUUAGUAAAGGCAGAAAUUGGUUUGCUUCAGGAUAAUGUGAAUAUCUCAUCAACUUUUUCUUAAAUGUUUUGUGCUAUAUGUGAGUGGCUAGCUGUGAAGGAUCUUAGCAAUAUCAAAUAAUUGGGUGAUGACCGAACAUGGCUGAAUUGACAAAAUGAUCCUUCUUUAGUGUUCAUUUGAUUAAAAAUAUUAAAUUACAUAGAUAGUUCAACUUCCUAAGAUGUACUCCAUCUGUUUUUUUGUGAAAAACACUGGAACUAGUCCUCCCUGUGUUUGUUUGGGAAUGUGGAAUAGCUUAUAUUUGAUGCUAGAUGAAAAAAAAAAAUUAAAGGAACAUAGGAAGAUAUUACACUAAAAUAUCUUAAAGUACAUAAUGCAAUGCUGGAAACUUCUAUAAAACAAAUAGGUUGUCUAGGUAUUGAAAGAUGCUGUUUUGGAAACACUUUUGUAAUUUUCUUAGAGUACUUUAUCCAUAUGUACCAUCUUUAUUAAAAUCAACAAUUUUUAUCCUUACCUAGCUUCAAGCCCAAAGGCGAAUAUUCAUACCUUCAUAUUUAUCCAAGGCAUCAAAUCAUAAAUUCUUACUUGGAACAUGGACCUCGUAGCUCUGACAUUGUCAAUACAUCAUAUAUUCUUAUUACAUUUGGUCCCUGAUAAGAUUUUUGGAUGCUGCUUCAUAAUUUUUAUUUUAAUGCUUCUACUUUGAACUUAUUGCUGGUUUGGGAUGGAUGCUUAGCCAAUUCAAGGAAGAUGUUUGACUUCUGUUAUUUUUCUUUUAAAUUCGGAAUUAGGUUUGGUGCCAUAAAGAAGGGGUUAAUUAAAAUCUUUAAAUGUAACUCUUUACAUAAGUCCUCAGUCCAGUUUUAUGAAACUAGCUUUUGCAUUUUCCUAUAUCCUUAAUCAGACUACCCUUGUCUCUAAUUUUGAUAGCUUUACAGUGGUUGGAAACCGUUAUGCAUGUUACGAUAAAUAUGCAUUAUGAAACUUCUUUAUUACUAUGUACUCAUUUUCUCCACAUCAUACAAAUAAUCUUUUCCCCCUGCUUACUAUUUAUCGAUGUGCAAGGACUCUUGGCGGAACUUUAGAUGAGAACAAAUCAAGUAACCAAGGAUCUUAACUAUUUCAGGUGUACAGCUGAAUAUGCUUCCUUACACACAGUUAACUUUUUUCACUGAUAAGAAGCAGGUUCAGAGGUCAACAAUUGUUCUUGGAUAUGUUGCCCAUGUGUGUACUUUCUUGUCCCUUGAGUAAUGUAAUGUUUAUUAUUAUGAGUAUUCAUAGUAUGUUCUUAUUUUAGGGUAAACUACUAAUUUUGAUAUGUUUAGCCUUCAGGCUAAUUGCUUUUCCUCAUACGUAGAUUUUUUAUGAUAUUUCACAUGCUUUCAUCUAUGAGUCUAUAACAUGCACUCUAUUUAGCCAGUCGUAGAUAUUUAGUAGCUCAGCUGACUUGCAAGAAAAUCCACAUGAGCAACAUUUACCCCCCUUUACAGUCCUCUCCUGUCCUCCCAAUUACUUAGAAAAAGAAAGAAGAAGAAAGCAGCAACAAUGUCUGGAUGAUAUUAAUACGUUGAUUUAGUCCUUUGCAGGUUAUCUCACUCAUAGCUACAUAUUUACAUGUCCCUUUGAGUUAUCCUUUGCGCAUUGGUGGUUCUCAUUCGUAUAUUAAACUAUACACCUUCAAUUGAUCCCACAUCUUCCGGAUCUUCCUCAACUGCCUUGGCCUCUGCAAAUACGAAGUGUUUGGAAUUUCCCUUUUUUUAGAUGGGCAAGAUGCCACCAGAGCAGCGUAUGCUAUAUUUUUAUUGAACAAGGUUUGUUAAUUACUUAUAUACAUCAUGUCAUAUCUACUGCCUGAAAAUUCUUUAAGUGAACCUUUUUAAUAAAUACUCGCUGCCACUUUCUGGACAA